rnacentral:rRNA from 1 species
GAUAAGUAAUGUGAAUUGCAGAAUUCAGUGAAUCAUCGAAUCUUUGAACGCACCUUGCACCCCUUGGUAUUCCGAGGGGUACGCCUGUUUGAGUGUCGUGAAAUCCUC